rnacentral:rRNA from 1 species
ACGCUGGCGGCGUGCCUAACACAUGCAAGUCGAGCGAGUGAAUCCCCUUCGGGAGUGAAGCUAGCGGCGGACGGGUGAGUAACACGUGGGCAACCUGCCUCAUAGAGGGGAAUAGCCUUCCGAAAGGAAGAUUAAUACCGCAUAAGAUUGUAGCUUCGCAUGAAGUAGCAAUUAAAGGAGCAAUCCGCUAUGAGAUGGGCCCGCGGCGCAUUAGCUAGUUGGUGAGGUAACGGCUCACCAAGGCGACGAUGCGUAGCCGACCUGAGAGGGUGAUCGGCCACAUUGGGACUGAGACACGGCCCAGACUCCUACGGGAGGCAGCAGGUGGGAAUAUUGCACAAUGGGGAAACCCUGAUGCAGCAACGCCGCGUGAGUGAUGACGGCCUUCGGGUCGUAAAGCUCUGUCUUCAGGGACGAUAAUGACGGUACCUGAGGAGGAAGCCACGGCUAACUACGUG